rnacentral:rRNA from 1 species
GUUCGUAGGUGACCUGCGGAGGAUCAUUAAUUACAAUAAGCCUAUGACUUCAGGGAAGGCAGUCGAUCGCCCUGUAGCAGGUUGGGCGGUGCCCUCCGGGUCUCCCGGAGCCAACCCACCUGCGAACGGCCGGCUCCCUGAUACGUUAUGCUUUAGCGGGUGGGACUGCGGCCCUCGGGGCCCCGUGAUCUGCCAUGCCUGGCUUCGUCCUUCGGUCGGGCUUUGGUUGCGCGGGAGCAAGCCCUGGCGGUGUAGGGUCUCAUGUGACCCUUUCACGCACCCAUGUCUGAAUCCUUUAUUCUACGAGCACCUCUUGUUCUCCUUCGGCGGGGCAACCUGCCGUUGGAACCAUCAAAAACUCCUUUUGCAUCUAAGCAUUACCAGUUCGGAUACAGACAAUCGUUACAACUUUCAACAAUGGAUCUCUUGGCUCUGGCAUCGAUGAAGAACGCAGCGAAAUGCGAUAAGUAGUGUGAAUUGCAGAAUUCAGUGAAUCAUCGAAUCUUUGAACGCACAUUGCGCCCCUUGGUAUUCCAUGGGGCAUGCCUGUUCGAGCGUCAUCUACACCCUCAAGCUCUGCUUGGUGUUGGGCGUCUGUCCCGCCUCGGCGCGUGGACUCGCCCCAAAUCCAUUGGCAGCGGUCUUCCGCCUCCUCCCGCGCAGCACAUUGCGCUUCUCGAGGUGUUGCGGCCCGCGUCCACGAAGCGACAAUCUACCGUCUUUGACCUCGGAUCAGGUAGGGAUACCCGCUGAACUUAAGCAUAUCAUAAAGCCGGAAGGAA